GGCCAGCAGCCGCGGUAAUACGGAGGGUCCAAGCGUUAUCCGGAAUCAUUGGGUUUAAAGGGUGCGCAGGCGGUAAAGUAAGUCAGUGGUGAAAUCCCUUCGCUCAACGAAGGAACUGCCAUUGAUACUGCUAUACUUGAAUAUAGUUGAAGUAGGCGGAAUGUGUAGUGUAGCGGUGAAAUGCUUAGAUAUUACACAGAACACCGAUAGCGAAGGCAGCUUACUAAACUAAUAUUGACGCUCAUGCACGAAAGCGUGGGGAGCGAACAGGAUUAGAUACCCUGGUAGUCCACGCCGUAAACUAUGAUUACUCGUUCUCGGCGAUAUACGGUCGGGGACUAAGCGAAAGUGAUAAGUAAUCCACCUGGGGAGUACGAUCGCAAGAUUGAAACUCAAAGGAAUUGACGGGGGCCCGCACA
rnacentral:rRNA from 1 species